ensembl:lncRNA
AUGUUGCGUUUAUGUCAAUACCCGGGAUGUUUAAAUAAGUUUGUGACAUGUGUUUUGUUUUGCUUUCUCCUCUGUGGAUCUGCAUUUGUCACGCUCUCCCCGGAUCUUACGUUGUGCCUUUCCUUGCGCCUAUGUCAUAUGCUCAACCUCCUUUUGUGAACGUGCCUGCUUAAGCGACCUGAAGCUGUUAGGGCUGUGCAAAAAUUGAAUAUGAUUUUCAUGCGCAUCUCGUCAGUAAAGGCGCUCCUGUGAUUAGUAGUAAAUCUCCAACACGUGCUUUCAGAUGGAGAGGCAUUUACUACACAGAGUCAUAGUUCACUGACAGGCGAUUUUGAACGCGAUUUGUGAACUAUAGCUCUGUGUAAAAUCGCAUUCGAUUUUUUGCACAGGUCUGCUGGACAUUACAAUAUAUAAAGUUUUAAGAAACUAUAUUUUUCUUAAACUAAAGCAAUGUUUCACUUCAGAAGGCUUUUAUUAACACCCCAUAGCCGUGUGGAGUAGUUUUAGAUGGAUAGAUUUUUUUUCAGAUUCAUAAACAGGGGCACCUUUCACUGCAAUUAUACAGAUUGGAACAGACAGGACAAUGUCUAAUAUAACUCCGAAUGUGUUCGUCGGAAAGACGAAUGUCAGACACGCCUAGCAUGCCUUGAGGGUGAGUAAAUCUUGGACUAAUUUUCAUUUUUGGGUAAACUAUCCCUUUAAGUGUAUGUUCUUUAAGAUUUUAAAUCAUUAUUACUGUUGUGUAAUUUAUCUGAAUUGAUUGAAUUUGAGGAUUUCUUUAAUUGACUUGAUUAAGUAAUAGGAUUUUUCACUUUGCAUAUUGAAUAUAAAUACACUAAUAACAUCCAGACACUUACAAAAGUCAUUGGUCAGUGCAUUUGCAUCUUAAUAUCAGCUAGGCAGUUUGACAAGAAAGGCAUAAAUGUGUUUCUAGAGGCACUUUCUAUCUUGUGCUGUAAAUGUGUGUGUUUAACAAAGAUAAAUAGCACUACAAAAACAUCAACAUAGGCAUGGUACAUUAAAUCCCACAGUGCUCAGCAGGAUUGUAUAUGAAUAACGGAGAUAGCAGAAAUGGAAAAGUCAAA